rnacentral:rRNA from 1 species
UACGGAGGAUGCGAGCGUUAUCCGGAUUUAUUGGGUUUAAAGGGUGCGUAGGCGGAUCGUUAAGUCAGUGGUCAAAUUGAGGGGCUCAACCCCUUCCCGCCAUUGAAACUGGCGCUCUUGAGUGGAAGAGAAGUAUGCGGAAUGCGUGGUGUAGCGGUGAAAUGCAUAGAUAUCACGCAGAACCCCGAUUGCGAAGGCAGCAUGCCGGCUUCCGACUGACGCUGAAGCACGAAAGCGUGGGGAUCAAACAGG